AGUUUGUGUUGAGCACUGGAUCUGGAGUUAAUGGCUUUACCCUUGAUCCAUUACUAGGGGAAUUCAUACUAACUCAUCCAGAUAUCAAGAUCCCAAAGAAAGGAAAGAUCUAUUCUAUGAAUGAAGGAAAUGCUAAAAACUGGGAUGGUCCAACAGCAAAAUUUGUUGAAACCUGCAAGUUCCCUAAAGAUGGUUCAUCACCGAAGUCUCUAAGAUACAUCGGAAGGUAUUUAAACUCCUCAACAAUAUGUG